rnacentral:rRNA from 1 species
AGUUAAGCUCUUCAGCGCCGAUGGUAGUUGGGUUCGCCCCUGCGAGAGUAGGACGCUGCCAGGC